AUCAGAGGGUAGAGAAACCGUGGCCAAAGACGCCGAUUAAGAAUGAGAUUCGUAUAACCACUUAGGGAAGGAUGAGGAACUACAUUAUUUAUGCUACCACUCUGUUUAAGGGUCUUGGAAGAUAAUCAGCUUGGAGGACCUCUUCAUCAAAACCUUGGAAAUUUGAGCUGCAUGAGGAGGCUCUUUCUUUCUGCCAACAAUUUUACUGGAACAAUUCCAGACACAUUCAGCAAAUUGAAGAACUUGACAGAUUUGCACAUGCAAGGCACAUCCAUGGAUGGCCCCAUUCCUUCUACCAUAUCCCAG